rnacentral:rRNA from 1 species
AACUUUCAACAAUGGAUCUCUUGGCUCUGGCAUCGAUGAAGAACGCAGCGAAAUGCGAUAAGUAAUGUGAAUUGCACAAUUCCGUGAAUCAUCGAAUCUUUGAACGCACAUUGCGCCCCCUGGUAUUCCGGGGGGCAUGCCUGUUCGAGCGUC